UGGCUGCAGUGAGGAAUUUUGGACAAUGGGGGAAACCCUGAUCCAGCGACGCCGUGUGUGGGAUGAAUCGGUUAUACCGUGUAAACCACUGUCAGAUGGGAAAAAAAGAAUCUUUUGGAUUCUGGGAUUGUACCAUCAGAGGAAGGACCGGCUAACUACGUGCCAGCAGCCGCGGUAAUACGUAGGGUCCGAGCGUUGUCCGGAAUUACUGGGUAUAAAGGGUGCGCAGGCGGGUAUUUGCGUCGGGUGUUAAAGAUCAGAGCUUAACUCUGGGAAUGCAUCCGAAACGAGAUAUCUUGAGUAUGAGAGAGGUAGGUAGAAUUCAUGGUGUAGCGGUGAAAUGCGUAGAUAUCAUGAGGAAUACCAGUGGCGAAGGCGGCCUACUGGCUCAUUACUGACGCUCAGGCACGAAAGCGUGGGGAGCAAACAGGAUUAGAUACCCCUGUAGUC
rnacentral:rRNA from 1 species